GAUGAACGCUGGCGGCGUGCCUAACACAUGCAAGUCGAACGGAGAUGAAACGCUGUCGAGACUUCGGUCAAAACUUGUUUUAUCUUAGUGGCGGACGGGUGAGUAACGCGUGGAGAACCUGCCUCAUACUGGGGGAUAGCAGUUGGAAACGACUGAUAAUACCGCAUAAGCGCACAGCUUCGCAUGAAGCAGUGUGAAAAACUCCGGUGGUAUAGGAUGGUCCCGCGUCUGAUUAGCUAGUUGGUGAGGUAACGGCCCACCAAGGCGACGAUCAGUAGCCGGCCUGAGAGGGUGUACGGCCACAUUGGGACUGAGACACGGCCCAAACUCC
rnacentral:rRNA from 1 species